rnacentral:rRNA from 1 species
GAGUUUGAUCAUGGCUCAGAGUGAACGCUGGCGGCAGGCCUAACACAUGCAAGUCGAACGGCAGCACAGAGGAGCUUGCUCCUUGGGUGGCGAGUGGCGGACGGGUGAGGAAUGCAUCGGAAUCUGCCUAUUUGUGGGGGAUAACGUAGGGAAACUUACGCUAAUACCGCAUACGUCCUACGGGAGAAAGUGGGGGACCUUCGGGCCUCACGCAGAUAGAUGAGCCGAUGCCGGAUUAGCUAGUUGGCGGGGUAAAGGCCCACCAAGGCGACGAUCCGUAGCUGGUCUGAGAGGAUGAUCAGCCACACUGGAACUGAGACACGGUCCAGACUCCUACGGGAGGCAGCAGUGGGGAAUAUUGGACAAUGGGCGCAAGCCUGAUCCAGCCAUGCCGCGUGUGUGAAGAAGGCCUUCGGUUGUAA